UCAAGCGAACAAGUGCAUGUGGUGGAUGCCUUGGCGAUCACAGGCGAUGAAGGACGCGGUAGCCUGCGAAAAGCUUCGGGGAGCUGGCAAACAAGCUUUGAUCCGGAGAUGUCCGAAUGGGGAAACCCGGCCCGUAUGGGUCAUCCCACACUGAAUUCAUAGGUGUGGGAAGCGAACGCGGCGAACUGAAACAUCUAAGUAGCUGCAGGAACAGAAAUCAACCGAGAUUCCCAAAGUAGUGGCGAACGAAAUGGGAAGAGCCUUGUACUCUUUAGCAGUGGUGUUAGCAGAACGGGAUGGAAAGCCCGGCCAUAGCAGGUGAUAGCCCUGUAUGCGAAAACACGAUUGUGGAACUAGGUGUACGACAAGUAGGGCGGGACACGUGAAAUCCUGUCUGAAGAUGGGGGGACCAUCCUCCAAGGCUAAAUACUCGUGAUCGACCGAUAGUGAACCAGUACCGUGAGGGAAAGGCGAAAAGAACCCCGGGAGGGGAGUGAAAUAGAUCCUGAAACCGCAUGCAUACAAACAGUCGGAGCCCUUUCGGGGGUGACGGCGUACCUUUUGUAUAAUGGGUCAGCGGCUUACAGGCAGUGGCAAGAUUAGGCGAGUAGGGAAGGCGUAGCGAGAGCGAGUCCGAACAGGGCGUUGAGUCGCUGGGUGUAGACCCGAAACCAGAUGAUCUAGCCAUGGCCAGGUUGAAGGUGCGGUAACACGUACUGGAGGACCGAACCCACUAACGUUGAAAAGUUAGGGGAUGAGCUGUGGAUAGGGGUGAAAGGCUAAACAAAUCUGGAAAUAGCUGGUUCUCUCCGAAAACUAUUUAGGUAGUGCCUCGUGUCUCACCUUCGGGGGUAGAGCACUGUCAUGGUUGGGGGGUCUAUUGCUGAUUACCCCGCCAUAGCAAACUCCGAAUACCGAAGAGUGCAAUCACGGGAGACAGACAUCGGGUGCUAACGUCCGGUGUCAAGAGGGAAACAACCCAGACCGCCAGCUAAGGUCCCCAAAUAUAGCUAAGUGGGAAACGAAGUGGGAAGGCUAAAACAGUCAGGAGGUUGGCUUAGAAGCAGCCACCCUUUAAAGAAAGCGUAAUAGCUCACUGAUCGAGUCGUCCUGCGCGGAAGAUGUAACGGGGCUAAGCUAUAUACCGAAGCUGCGGACGCACGCAAGUGCGUGGUAGGAGAGCGUUCUGUAAGCCUGUGAAGGUGUCUUGUAAAGGAUGCUGGAGGUAUCAGAAGUGCGAAUGCUGACAUGAGUAGCGAUAAAGGGGGUGAAAGGCCCCCUCGCCGUAAGCCCAAGGUUUCCUACGCAACGUUCAUCGGCGUAGGGUGAGUCGGCCCCUAAGGCGAGGCAGAGAUGCGUAGCUGAUGGGAAGCAGGUUAAUAUUCCUGCACCGUCGUAUGAUGCGAUGGGGGGACGGAUCGCGGAAGGUUGUCCGGGUGUUGGAAGUCCCGGUCCCUGCAUUGGAGAAGGCGCUCAGGCAAAUCCGGGCGCGGGAUUCAAGGAUGUGGGGCGAGCGGCCUAGUGCUGCGAAGCAAUUGGAAGUGGUUCCAAGAAAAGCCUCUAAGCUUCAGUCAUACGAGACCGUACCGCAAACCGACACAGGUGGGCGAGAUGAGUAUUCUAAGGCGCUUGAGAGAACUCGGGAGAAGGAACUCGGCAAAUUGGUACCGUAACUUCGGGAUAAGGUACGCCCUGGUAGCUUGACUGGCCUGCGCCAGAAGGGUGAAGGGGUUGCAAUAAAAUGGUGGCUGCGACUGUUUAAUAAAAACACAGCACUCUGCAAACACGAAAGUGGACGUAUAGGGUGUGACGCCUGCCCGGUGCCGGAAGAUUAAAUGAUGGGGUGCAAGCUCUUGAUUGAAGUCCCGGUAAACGGCGGCCGUAACUAUAACGGUCCUAAGGUAGCGAAAUUCCUUGUCGGGUAAGUUCCGACCUGCACGAAUGGCGUAACGAUGGCCACACUGUCUCCUCCCGAGACUCAGCGAAGUUGAAGUGUUUGUGAUGAUGCAAUCUCCCCGCGGCUAGACGGAAAGACCCCAUGAACCUUUACUGUAGCUUUGCAUUGGACUUUGAACCGAUCUGUGUAGGAUAGGUGGGAGGCUUUGAAGCGUGGACGCUAGUUCACGUGGAGCCGUCCUUGAAAUACCACCCUGGUUUGUUUGAGGUUCUAACCUUGGCCCGUGAAUCCGGGUCGGGGACAGUGCAUGGUAGGCAGUUUGACUGGGGCGGUCUCCUCCCAAAGUGUAACGGAGGAGUUCGAAGGUACGCUUGGUACGGUCGGACAUCGUACCUAAAGUGCAAUGGCAAAAGCGUGCUUAACUGCGAGACCGACAAGUCGAGCAGGUGCGAAAGCAGGACAUAGUGAUCCGGUGGUUCUGAAUGGAAGGGCCAUCGCUCAACGGAUAAAAGGUACUCUGGGGAUAACAGGCUGAUACCGCCCAAGAGUUCAUAUCGACGGCGGUGUUUGGCACCUCGAUGUCGGCUCAUCUCAUCCUGGGGCUGUAGCCGGUCCCAAGGGUAUGGCUGUUCGCCAUUUAAAGAGGUACGUGAACUGGGUUUAAAACGUCGUGAGACAGUUUGGUCCCUAUCUGCCGUGGGCGUUGGAAUCUUGACGGGGGCUGCUCCUAGUACGAGAGGACCGGAGUGGACGUACCGCUGGUGUACCUGUUGUCUCGCCAGAGGCAUCGCAGGGUAGCUAUGUACGGAAGAGAUAACCGCUGAAAGCAUCUAAGCGGGAAACUCGCCUGAAGAUGAGGAUUCCCUGGAGGCUUGACCUCCUUGAAGGGUCGUUCGAGACCAGGACGUUGAUAGGCUGGGUGUGGAAGCGCAGUAAUGCGUUAAGCUAACCAGUACUAAUUGCCCGUAAGGCUUGAUCCU
rnacentral:rRNA from 1 species